rnacentral:rRNA from 1 species
AGUCGAACGAUGAACUGGAGCUUGCUCCAGGGAUUAGUGGCGAACGGGUGAGUAACACGUGAGUAACCUGCCCUUGACUCUGGGAUAAGCGUUGGAAACGACGUCUAAUACCGGAUAUGAACUGUGACGGCAUCGUCUGCAGUUGGAAAGAAUUUUGGUCAAGGAUGGACUCGCGGCCUAUCAGGUAGUUGGUGAGGUAAUGGCUCACCAAGCCGACGACGGGUAGCCGGCCUGAGAGGGUGACCGGCCACACUGGGACUGAGACACGGCCCAGACUCCUACGGGAGGCAGCAGUGGGGAAUAUUGCACAAUGGGCGAAAGCCUGAUGCAGCAACGCCGCGUGAGGGACGACGGCCUUCGGGUUGUAAACCUCUUUUAGUAGGGAAGAAGCGAAAGUGACGGUACCUGCAGAAAAAGCACCGGCUAACUACGUGCCAGCAGCCGCGGUAAUACGUAGGGUGCAAGCGUUGUCCGGAAUUAUUGGGCGUAAAGAGCUCGUAGGCGGUUUGUCGCGUCUGCUGUGAAAUCUGGGGGCUCAACCCCCAGCCUGCAGUGGGUACGGGCAGACUAGAGUGCGGUAGGGGAGAUUGGAAUUCCUGGUGUAGCGGUGGAAUGCGCAGAUAUCAGGAGGAACACCGAUGGCGAAGGCAGAUCUCUGGGCCGUAACUGACGCUGAGGAGCGAAAGCAUGGGGAGCGAACAGGAUUAGAUACCCUGGUAGUCCAUGCCGUAAACGUUGGGAACUAGAUGUAGGGGCCAUUCCACGGUUUCUGUGUCGCAGCUAACGCAUUAAGUUCCCCGCCUGGGGAGUACGGCCGCAAGGCUAAAACUCAAAGGAAUUGACGGGGGCCCGCACAAGCGGCGGAGCAUGCGGAUUAAUUCGAUGCAACGCGAAGAACCUUACCAAGGCUUGACAUAUACCGGAAACGUCCAGAGAUGGUCGCCCCGCAAGGUCGGUAUACAGGUGGUGCAUGGUUGUCGUCAGCUCGUGUCGUGA